rnacentral:rRNA from 1 species
AACGAACGCUGGCGGCAUGCCUAACACAUGCAAGUCGAACGAGACCUUCGGGUCUAGUGGCGCACGGGUGCGUAACGCGUGGGAACCUGCCCUUAGGUUCGGAAUAACUCCCCGAAAGGGGUGCUAAUACCGGAUAAUGUCUUCGGACCAAAGAUUUAUCGCCUUUGGAUGGGCCCGCGUUGGAUUAGCUAGUUGGUAGGGUAAAAGCCUACCAAGGCGACGAUCCAUAGCUGGUCGGAGAGGAUGAUCAGCCACACUGGGACUGAGACACGGCCCAGACUCCUACGGGGGGCAGCAGUGGGGAAUAUUGGACGAUGGGCGAAAGCCUGAUCCAGCAAUGCCGCGUGAGUGAUGAAGGCCUUAGGGUUGUAAAGCUCUUUUACCCGGGAUGAUAAUGACAGUACCGGGAGAAUAAGCUCCGGCUAACUCCGUG